rnacentral:lncRNA from 1 species
AAAGCUGCAAAUCUGGGAUUUGAACCCAGGUGUCUGUAUUUAUACAGAAGUGGCAUGAAACAGUUGACUUUCAGGAAAUGGCCCAAGCAUUGACGCUUAUCAAAUUCAGGAAAGAGGGUAGCACUUUAUGAAUCAUGAAGAUGAUCUGGUCACUUA